rnacentral:rRNA from 1 species
UACGGGGGGGGGUAAGCGUUGUUCGGAAUUACUGGGCGUAAAGAGCGCGCAGGCGGCUGGUCAAGUCCGAUGUGAAAGCUCCCGGCUUAACUGGGAAACGGCAUCGGAAACUGAUCGGCUUGAAGGUGGGAGAGGGUAGUGGAAUUCCCGGUGUAGUGGUGAAAUGCGUAGAUAUCGGGAGGAACACCAGUGGCGAAGGCGACUACCUGGCCCACUCUUGACGCUGAGGCGCGAAAGCUAGGGGAGCAAACGGG